CAGGAAAGUCAAGCAUGCUAAAUGCUUUAUUUCGUAUUGUUGAACUUGAAGCGGGAAAAAUAUUGAUAGAUGGUUUCGAUGUUGCAAAGUUUGGGCUGUUGGACUUGAGGAGAGUUCUAGGGAUCAUACCACAAGCACCUGUUCUAUUUUCAGGUACACAAUCUAUGUUAGCUGCCUUUGUCAAUAAUAUAUUAUAGCUGAUAUCAUUUACUACUUAGUUAAUCAAACUGCAUCCAACAUUUUCUUAUUUUUAUUUUUAUUUUUAUUCAAAUGGACAAGAAUUAAAAUUACUCAGUUUAUGUAUAAGUUUUUGCCACCCUCCCCCAUCUCACACGCGCUCACACACAAAAAAAGAAAGUUAUAGAUACAUGUCAAGGUUCUAAAUUAAAUAAACUGCCCAUAUUAUAAGUUUUUUUAUAUAUAUAUAUGGGAACUCUUGGAAAGAUAGGUAUGAGUUGGUUAUUAUUAUUUUCAUUCUCUUUUUCGUUUGUCUAGGAACGGUCAGGUUUAAUCUAGAUCCAUUCAACGAACACAAUGAUGCUGAUCUUUGGGAAGCUCUUGAGAGGGCACAUUUGAAGGAUGCCAUAAGGAGGAAUUCCUUUGGCCUGGAUGCGGAGGUAUAUCAUGAUGAGCUUCGUGUUAUAUGCAUGUGUUAUGUGAUGGAAUGAACUAAGUGAAAUCCUCUUACAUCUGUUUGCAAUUUGAUUGCCCAAGUCUACAGUUUUCUAUUAAAAUACGAACCUAAGGUCAAUAUCAGUACUCAAAAAACUUUUGGUCUAAAACGUCGGAUGGAACGGUAAAAUUGUGAUGUCUCGAUUAUCCAUAGUGUUCCCAAAAGAUUCCUCAUAAUAAGGUUCCUUGCUGUGUGACUUCAAAAUAGAAUCAAAAGAAAGUGUCGAAAAUCGUAAAACUUACUGAGUCGUUGCAAAUCAUCAUCCCUUAUAGGCCAAACAAUCGUUUUACAUGCAUCGACUAGUAGUAAAAAAUUCAGUCGACAUCCCCCUCCCACAAAGAUAAGCAACAAAACUAAAUCGUGUAACUUGUUUGGUUGCUAGGUUUCUGAGGCCGGGGAGAAUUUUAGCGUUGGACAAAGGCAACUUUUGAGUCUUGCUCGGGCACUUCUUCGGAGAUCAAAGAUUCUAGUUCUUGAUGAAGCAACAGCGGCUGUUGAUGUUAGAACUGAUGCUUUGAUUCAGAAAACAAUAAGGGAAGAGUUUAAAUCUUGUACAAUGCUCAUUAUUGCACACAGAUUAAAUACCAUCAUAGACUGCGAUCAAAUCCUUGUACUCGAUUCUGGUCGGGUAUGUUAAUUUGUUUAAAACUUCUUAAACUUUCAAAAUUGAUUCCUUUUAUAUUGCAUUUUUGUUUUAAUUUCAAGUUUGUUGAUUCUGCGGUAUCUUAGGUUUCGGAGUAUAACACUCCCGAAGAACUUUUAUCAAAUGAAAAAAGCGCUUUUUCAAAGAUGGUUCAAAGUACUGGAGCUGCGAAUGCUAAAUACUUACGCGGCUUAGUACUGGGAGGCGAAGGUGAGAAAAGGUCAGGAACUGACGAGAACUUUAAGUUGAAUGGACAAAGAAAAUGGCUGGCUUCCUCGCGGUGGGCUGCAGCUGCUCAAUUUGCUUUGGCUGUCAGCCUUGGAUCUUCACAUAAU
rnacentral:lncRNA from 1 species